GCGCGAAAAAGAAACCCUUGACUUCGUUACCAUCCGAAUGUUUUACGCAUUACACUUUUCUGACCCCAAAUCACCAUUUUUAUUUUUUUUUCAAAUUUUCCACAAAUUUCCUUCUCUCACAGAUCCCUCCCCCGAUUUUCCUCUUCUCGCAGACCCCUCCCUCGACUUCGUUACCACCCGAAUGUCAUCGCCAACUCGCCACACCAGAUAGAUCUGCCAGGAAUUCGCUUUCUUGAUGCCUUUUCUGGUUUUCGUGAAGCUGCGAGUGUUUUCGAUUUCUCUUAUAUGUCGUGUUGUGUCGAUUGACAAGAGUAAAGUAUGUUGAGCGUGGUACGCGUGCACUUGCCUUCUGAUAUUCCUAUUGUACGCUACGAACUUACACCCUACGUUCUCUAUUGCUACCCUGAUAAGAACAUCGAUACUGAUGAUGUAUCUGAGUCGGCUCCUCUUAAUGGUCAAUUUUUGAGAUACAGAUGUAUAAUAUUGAUCAAGCAUGGCAGAAAAAUACUUCCUAAAGAAGAUGGGUGGGUUAUGGGAUCAUGUGAUUUUUAGUUGUUUUUAGUUUUUAGUUUUUAGAAUUUAUAAGGGCUGUAGACAACGGUGAUGCUGAUGAAGAUCACCGCCCCUCUGUUUAUUGAAAGAGGGGAAAACAGAGUAUAACAAAAUAAAGAAAGAGAAAGAGAAGAAAUUAGAGUCUCAAGAGAUUUUCGAGGUGCCAUUCAAUGGAACAUUCGAUAGUGAAAGCAAGAAAAGAAGAGGAAGAUCAUAAGUUGUGUAAUCCUGGCAAUAGUUGUGGGUUUUCAGAGCUUUAUGAAUCUAAUGAUCGAUCAAACUUACCGAAGCUGUCAUGAUCGAAUUUAUUCA